UGGAGGAACAACAAUGCAUGUUGUUUUUGUUGCUGGCUGCUGAUAGUACAGUAUGAUGUUCGUCCCAAAAUGUAGUAUGUGAACCUAAUCUCUGUUAGCAGCAGAGCACAUACUUCCAAAGAUUUUUUAUGUCCGAACAAAAGAUACUUCGGGUAUGAUCAUUGGUAGAUUAUAUAAUUACUUCGGGUAUGAUCAUUGGUAGAUUAUAUAAUUGUUCUCUUCAUGGUGUGUGAUCAUCAUCUGUUCUUCAUUGGUACACAUUGCAGUUGUCCUUUUUUCUAGUGUUGUCCUUUUUGUUAGAUGAUGUUCCAAUGCCAGAUAUUUUGAUGAUGCCAGAUAUAAGCUAGCUUCGCCGCCUCACAACUGCAGCAAGACCCUGAAUUGGGCAGCAUCGUGAAGGACAAGACUUGGAAUGGAUCCUGAAAUGAGGGAUCAUGUUAGGAAGAGGGAGGAGGAGGAUGACGAAAUUAUGUUAUUUGUUUUCCCUGCACUACAUUUGAUAGAGACCGAUGGAGUUGCUCUUAGGGAGCGGAGGAUUCCGCGUCAUACAUCAUCGCUAACAGGCGAGAUGUUUGUUAAGGAGUUACUCGAAGGGCACGUCAAAAAUUGUCGGGUAGCAUUUAGGAUGGAGCCGCGUAUCUUCAAAUCUUUGGCUAAUUAUCUUCGAAGGGAGAAGUUGGUGAAAGAUACCAGAAUUAAAGUCGAAGAGAAACUAGCAUCAUUUCUGUGGAUGUUAUCCCAUAAUUCUUCAUUUGAAGACCUUCAAGUUCGGUUUGGUCACAGCGGGGAUACUUUCCAUUGGCAAAUGAAGAAUUUCUUUGACAUCAUCCCUAUUCUCUCCAAGCAUUUUUUGAAGCCUCCAAAUCCCAGUCAAGUGCAUCCGAAGAUUCAGUCGGACACGAGAUUCUUUCCUUAUUUUCAGAACUGCAUUGGGGCAAUUGAUGGGACACAUGUUCCCAUAACAAUUUCAGGAGAAAAAGCCGCACCAUUCAGAAAUAGGAAAGGGACCCUAAGCCAUAAUGUUAUGGUCGUGUGC